AUACGUAGGUGGCAAGCGUUGUCCGGAAUUAUUGGGCGUAAAGCGCGCGCAGGCGGUCCUUUAAGUCUGAUGUGAAAGCCCACGGCUCAACCGUGGAGGGUCAUUGGAAACUGGGGGACUUGAGUGCAGAAGAGGAAAGUGGAAUUCCAAGUGUAGCGGUGAAAUGCGUAGAGAUUUGGAGGAACACCAGUGGCGAAGGCGACUUUCUGGUCGGUAACAGAGGCUGAGGCGCGAAAGCGUGGGGAGCAAACAGGAUAAGAUACCCUGGUAGUCCGCGCCGUAAACGAUGAGUGCUAAGUGUUAGGGGGUUUCCGCCCCUUAGUGCUGCAGCUAACGCAUUAAGCACUCCGCCUGGGGAGUACGGUCGCAAGACUGAAACUCAAAUGAAUUGGCGGGG
rnacentral:rRNA from 1 species